rnacentral:lncRNA from 1 species
GUCUUCUUCAUUUUGGGAAGCGCUUCUGAGCAGGUUAAGCAACGUCUGUUUGUCUGUUGGAAGAUGGUUACAUGUUAUCUUAUAUGAGAGCGCUUCAAAUCAUCUGUCCAAAAUGGAUUGAAGGAAAAUGAGAAAUGGAAUGUCAAGAGGAAAGGAGGACAAGUAUGGAAGUGGUUGUGAACAACAUUGCUUUUAAGUGGCUUUUCAAGUUCUAUAUAAUCAACUGAUAAACAAGCUAUAUAAUAUUGGCUUCAUCCACAUACAACUUAAACAAACUGCUUCUUUAUGUCUGGUCCUCUAUUUUAUUUUACGCAUUCAGUUUUUGAAUACAAAUCUCUAUUUUUAUGCACAGGAACCCCAGCCCUUACCUCGAGGGGAUUUGUGGAAGAGGAUUUUGUCAAGGUUGCAUACUUCUUCGAUCUUGCUGUUAAGUUGGCAUUGAAAAUUAAGGCUGCAACCACAGGUUUGCAAGAUUCCCGUUGAUCCCUUUUCAUUUCAUGGCUUUCAGCAAUCUUCUGAGAUACAGCUCAUGCUGAAGCUUGGCCGCCUAAUAUGUGUUGUUGAGUAAUAAUGUGUUAUAUGGAAUUCAAGAUGUACGUUGAAUAUGUUGAUUCAUAUCAGUGUUGUCGAUUUAACUAAACCAGGGACAAAGCUGAAGGACUUUGUCGCAGCAAUGCAGUCACCUGAUGUCCAAUCUGCAAUCGCCAAACUCCGUACUGAGGUUGAAGAUUACGCGAAGCAGUUCCCAACAAUUGGCUUUGAGAAAGAAACCAUGAAAUACAAGAACUGAACAAAGGAACGCUGCUACAGAAGGUACAGUAACCCGAACUCUUACCGUUUAUAGUUUGAGCUUCCCUUUACUUACUGGAUGCUAACCUUUGAGUGUUGUAAAUGGAACAGGUUAAAGGGGGUUUUCAAAUGAGUGUUGUAUCUUCAAGUAGAAGGUAAGCAAAGAGAUCCAUCCACCCCCAUCAAAAUCAUGGAGCGAUUUUAUUGUCUGGAGAUGCAAAUAUGUAAAGCCGUUCGCAUAUUAAGGAUGCCCUGUCUGUAAACCUGUAAAAAACCAACCUACUUGGUGGCGUCUUUACUACUUUGAUGCAUGUACUACUGCUGCAUAUACUUUGCUAUCAAAAGCUACGUUUGGUGAUAUGCAUAAUUACAAGAAUAAAUCAAUCCCCCUGACUUUCAUUCCCAACAGGAAGUCAUUUCUGUUAAGCAAUUUCGCUAAUUUUACAUAAAACUUAAUUCACAAAUCAACAUCAUGAAGAAUAAUUUAAAACAAAAAUCCUAAACUACCCCUUUAAUUUGUUAACCUAAUCUGAAGUGUCCAAAUGAAAUUCACCGGUCUCUUCAACUUUUUUUCUUUUAUCGAUCGUUUGGGUAGGUGAUUUUAAUGGAUUAUUUGAAGGUGAUUUGUACCUCAAAAGAGAUUUCAUCUUAAAUCACCCAUUUGAGAAAUAAAAAAGAGGAAGGUUGGAGAGAUUUGAAAUCACCUUGUGGGUUCAGAGAGAAUUUCGUAGAUGAUUUUAAAUUACCUAGAAGCGGUAAAUAUUUCAAAAAAGAAAGAGAAAAUUUGAGAAAUUUAACCAAAAUUACCCUUUUAUUUCUUUUGUAAGUGAUUACCAGAGCAGAGAUCCAGAGGGAGGGUUCCGGCAAGCAGAGAUCUGGAUGCUCGCCGAUGAACUUCAGUUAUUGUUUCGCGAAGAUCGUUUCUGAAUAGGUUUAGGAGAGUUAAGUCCUUGAGCCUGGUGGUCGAUUCCAUGUUACGAGCUUACGACAACAACCUUCGGGCUAUUAGGCAAGAGAACUCCAAACCUUCCGAAGACAUUAGUUUGGAUCGUAAAUGGUGGUCGAGUGGUUGUGGUGGUGGAAGAAAGAGAGACAGGUUAGAGCUAUUGAUUCACAGAGGAAGAUUAC